UCCGGAGGGAAGCGAGUGGCGAACGGCUGAGUAACACGUGGAGAACCUGCCCCCUCCCCCCGGGAUAGCCGCCCGAAAGGACGGGUAAUACCGGAUACCCCCGGGCGCCGCAUGGCGCCCGGGCUAAAGCCCCGACGGGAGGGGAAUGGCUCCGCGGCCCAUCAGGUAGACGGCGGGGUGACGGCCCACCGUGCCGACAACGGGUAGCCGGGUUGAGAGACCGACCGGCCAGAUUGGGACUGAGACACGGCCCAGACUCCUACGGGAGGCAGCAUG
rnacentral:rRNA from 1 species